UAGGCUGAUUUAAUUUAGCAGUCCCUUUUAAU
rnacentral:piRNA from 1 species